GUCUUCGUGGUGUAGUGGUCAGCACGCUUGACAUGUAACCGAGAGGUCCGUGGUUCGAUUCCUGGCGAAGGCG
rnacentral:tRNA from 1 species